rnacentral:lncRNA from 1 species
CUUCACACAACCCCUGGCAGCAGAGUCUCUGCCCUUUAAGGUCAGAAUAUUAUUGCUUUUACUGUCAGAAGUUUAAAUCUUCAGGGGAAGUGAAGUGUUCCUGAUAGGAAGGAGACCGACAUUUCUGCUUAGAGUACCAUGAUUCCAAGCCGCUCCUAUCAGGUUAUGACUCUUUAG